rnacentral:rRNA from 1 species
UCCGAAGGGGGCUAUCGUUGUUCGGAAUCACUGGGCGUAAAGCGCACGCAGGCGGAUCGAUAAGUCGGGGGUGAAAGCCCGGGGCUCAACCUCGGAACUGCCUUCGAUACUGUCGGUCUCGAGUCCGGGAGAGGUGAGUGGAAUUCCUAGUGUAGAGGUGAAAUUCGUAGAUAUUAGGAAGAACACCAGUGGCGAAGGCGGCUCACUGGCCCGGUACUGACGCUCAGGUGCGAAAGCGUGGGGAGCAAACAGG